AGCAGCCGCGGUAAUUCCAGCUCCAAUAGCGUAUAUUAAAGUUGUUGCAGUUAAAAAGCUCGUAGUUGAAUUUCGAGACCGGUUUACUGGUCGUGCUUUUGUACGUACUGGUAUAAUCGGUUUCUCUUUUCUGACGAACUAUAAUGCCAUUAAUUUGGUGUUAUAGGGAAUCAGGACUGUUACUUUGAAAAAAUUAGAGUGUUUAAAGCAGGCUCACGCUUGAAUACAUUAGCAUGGAAUAACGAAAUAGGACGUUUGAUUUUAUUUUGUUGGUUUCUAGGAUCGACGUAAUGAUUAAUAGGGAUAGUUGGGGGCAUUAGUAUUCAAUUGUCAGAGGUGAAAUUCUUGGAUUUAUUGAAGACUAACUACUGCGAAAGCAUUUGCCAAGGAUGUUUUCAUUAAUCAAGAACGAAAGUUAGGGGAUCGAAGACGAUCAGAUACCGUCGUAGUCUUAACCAUAAACCUAAUGCCGACUAGGGAUCGGAUGAU
rnacentral:rRNA from 1 species